rnacentral:rRNA from 1 species
CCAAAAACGGUUUAUACCUUUUUAGAACUGUUAUUUUAUUAUGGUAUAUUAAAUUAUUUCAAUUUCUAUUAAUUAUGGGAGUUACAGCAUAAAACCAGUUAACAAACUUAAACUACUAUAUAACUAUAAGCUUAAUAAAGAUUUUUUUUUGGGGUAAAUAAGGUGCCAGCAACCGCGGUCAAACCUUUACCAGCACUAUAACUUUUACAUAAGUAAAGAUCUUCAGGUUUUAGUUAGACUUCACUUUUAGGUGAAAUAAAAGCUUUCAAAAAUUUUAAUAAAACCUUUCUUAUCUUAAAGUCACCUACUAAACUAGGAUUAGAGACCCUACUAUAAUGAUCUUACUAUCUUUACUUUAUUAAGGAGUACAUUACAUAAGGAAUUAAACUUAAAUAAUAUGGCGGCCAUAGAAAAUUUUUAGGGGAACUUACCAGGUAAAUGAUAGCCAACAAGAAAAUCUUCUUUUUUUUACUUUAGUUUGUAUGCCGUCGUCAUAAAAGCAUAUUAAAAAUAUACUUAAGAAAUCUUUAGUGAAUAAAAUGACAGAUCAAGGUGCAGCUUAUAUUAAAGAUUCUAGGCGAGUUACAAUAAUUUUAUUUUUCAGUUGUAAGCAAAUUAUUUGCUUAUAUAAGUUGGACUUAAAAGUAAAAGAGAACUACAAAACAAUUUUUGAAUAAACAUUUCUAUAGUGU